rnacentral:rRNA from 1 species
UACGUAGGGUGCAAGCGUUGUCCGGAAUUACUGGGCGUAAAGCGUGCGCAGGCGGCUUUGCAAGACAGAUGUGAAAUCCCCGGGCUCAACCUGGGAACUGCAUUUGUGACUGCACGGCUGGAGUGCGGCAGAGGGGGAUGGAAUUCCGCGUGUAGCAGUGAAAUGCGUAGAUAUGCGGAGGAACACCGAUGGCGAAGGCAAUCCCCUGGGCCUGCACUGACGCUCAUGCACGAAAGCGUGGGGAGCAAACAGG